rnacentral:rRNA from 1 species
CAGUAGCCGCGGGAAUACGUAGGGUGCGAGCGUUAAUCGGAAUUACUGGGCGUAAAGCGUGCGCAGGCGGUUCGUUAAGACAGAUGUGAAAUCCCCGGGCUUAACCUGGGAACUGCAUUUGUGACUGACGGGCUAGAGUAUGGCAGAGGGGGGUAGAAUUCCACGUGUAGCAGUGAAAUGCGUAGAGAUGUGGAGGAAUACCGAUGGCGAAGGCAGCCCCCUGGGCCAAUACUGACGCUCAUGCACGAAAGCGUGGGGAGCAAACAGGAUUAGAUACCCGCGUAGUCCCUGUCUCUUAUAC